AGACUAACAACCCCUUCUACAAAUUUUCGUAGUAGUGGGCACUGCAGGAGUGCAGGUACUUCGUGUAUUUGUUGCUAUGUGUCACCAUCUUUUUUGCAGACUGUGCUGCGUGAUGCUUUUCUUCUACCCUUUGUAGUAGCUUGCUGUUGAUAUUUGAGAUCGAUCCAAAUAUUAACCUGUGUGUCUGACGGAUAAUGAAUUUCAUGCUCUUAUGAAGUAAUUAACGGAUUAUUUAUCACAAGCCAAAUAACAUAUGUGAUUUUUCUUAUUGAUGUAUUCAUUCAUCGGUCAAGAAGUAGAGAUGUACUCCAGUCUGUAUUUGUCAUAUCUCUGAAUGCGUAACUAAGUUUCUAAGCAAUUUUUUCUGUAUUUUUCAUAUCUCUGAAUGUGCAAUCAAGUUUCCUGUAAAUAAAAGGAUCGUUUCUAAGAUUGUUCUUUUUGUAUUUGUCAUAUGUCUGAACCUAUACAUAUAAAUUACUAAGAAGUUCAUUUUGUAAACUUAAUGAAAGGAUGAAAUAAGUUCUUGGCUGUCAUUUUUCUUGGUCUAUGUGCUGAAACUACUACAAUAUGUCCUGAAACUGAACUCUUUUGAGGUGAUGCCCUAUUUACAUGUUUUUCCUUAUUAAAGAGAUAAAGUGAGUCGUGAUAUUGCUAGGAUGGUCAGGUAGACAUGACAUGAGGCCUUUGUCAAAUAACUGACUGUAUGGUUUUGGUCAUUGCUUUUCUAACUCUUAGCAUGAUAUGUUAACAUAUUAUGAUACUAAUAUUUCAUGAUACCCUUCUUGGCCAAGGGAGUACAGUCAUGCCCGCAACUCUGGAGUAUGAGAGAAACAGGUUGGCAAGGAUUAAGAGGCGCAUGGCUGAUGAGGCAGGUCCUCCUGCAGACAUAUGAAACAUAGCUACUGAACUGUUAUACAGUCAGAAUGCAAAUCAAAACAGGGGUGCAAAGGUGUGGAUGGUGGCAGUGGCUCCAAAUUUGAGCCAAAUGAUGAGGAGGGGGCUGAUGAUGCCGAUGAGUUUUCUGGAGAAGAAGAGGAGCAGGGGCCAACUCUACAUGUGUCAAAGAAAAAGAAAAUUUGGGCCAAGAACAAGCAGAACCGAGAAGCUGUCAAGCAUCACCAAUCUACGGGCUCUAGAUCUUAUACUUCUCAUUUCCACCAUCUUUUAGACAAGUACAACAAUGAGGACCCUAGUCCCAUUGAGUUUUUUUGAAGAGACCCACACCACCAGAAAGACGGGAUGCAUGAUGAGCACAGCUUCCCUUGAAGCUUAUACUGCUAUGGGAAAAAAAAGAAGUGAUGCACUAAAGGAGCACAACACCUCGAGCACCUUCCUUUCUACCAUGGGUAACAAUCAAGAUAUGGGAGGUCUAAGGACAUCAGCUUCCGCAGAACGCGUUCAAGAGUUAGAUGGAAAAUCUGAACAACAAAAUAGAGAGGGAACAGAGGCAAAUGUGAUGUAGGUAAAACACAAGAGGCUGCACUUAUAAAGAGAUGAAAAGGAAGCAGCACGAACUAUUGGAGGCCAUGAAGAAGAGCACGGAAGAAAAGAAUAAAUCAUAUAAAAAGAAGCAAGAAGAACAUGAUGGCCUUAUUAGAUUCCUCUUACGGAAACAUGCAACUUAGACUAGGCACCAUACUUGAUGGUGCAUGAAGGCUACGCUUAUAUGGUGUGCUAUCCUAGUAUGAUCUUAUUCUGUUAUGUACAACGAUUUUGUUUUGAGUUAGAUGCCAAUUGAGUA